ACUUAAAUAGCUUAUAUUUAGAGCAUAACUUUGAAGAUGUUAUGGAAGUUUUUAACUUUUAAGUA
rnacentral:tRNA from 1 species